AUUCCUCCCUGGUUACACCCUCCCAUAUCUUUCCCCAUCUAUGAAACCUUCAACCAGAAGAAAGAAUAAGAAGAUGGAGAGGCAACUUCAAGCCCUAGACAAGUGCAUCACAGCGAGUCAAAUACCGAUAGCUUUUAAUUAUGCACCGCUAUUAGUUGAAGCUGCCAGCAUGAUCUGAGCUUUCCUUAAUUUUCCUAUACGGGAAAGACUAGAUCAUGUGGCAGUUUCACCUAUUGAUGGUAGUAUGGAAAACCCUAAUCAGAACCCUAAUUUCCUCCAGUGAUCUAUCUUUGCGAACCCCAUUAGGGUUCUUCCUUGGAGAAGAAAACACUAGAUGAGGUAUGUCUUCUUUUUCCUGUUUGAUUUUCACUGAUCUGUGUAUGUGUUCCCUUAUUGUUCUUUUUCCCACCACCAGCUGCUCUCUUAUAUAUGAUGGGAUGUUUUUUUUUUGUAGUAUCUUGAACUUGUUAUUGUGCCGUACUGCUGUGUUGUGUUCUUCUUAUUCAUGUCAAAAUCUGUUAAAGAAUAGCAAGAUGUGAGUAACUGACAAGAUUUUUGUCUUAACAUGGUUGGUGCUUUUUGAAAUCUAUCUUCCCGUGCCUUGAAAACAGUGUGCCUUUUCAUAUUGGAAGAGAGCGUCUUUAUAUUUCUCCUUUACAGUUCAUGUCAAUUUCUGUGUUGUUGGUCAUGCAUAUCGAUCCCUUUGCAUAUCACUAAGAACCUAAUUUCAGCUAUGAUUUCAUUUUUACUGCAGACUAUAUUCAAAUAUAGAUUAAUACACACCACUAAUUUAGCUGUUUUUUUUCUAUUAUGUUUUUUUUCCUACUCCUCUUAUAUAUUUGUAACACACUUAUUUUUUUUUAAUUUCCUGUAUUAAUCAUUCAACUUUUUAGAGUUCAUUUUUUUAAAUAAUUACUUUUUAAUUAAUACACUCUAUUGUUAUUAAAAAAAAACAUCAUGCAUGUUCAAUCUCCCAUCUAGACAAUCUUAUUUUAUUUGUUGAGUCUUGGGACUGGAUACAUUAUGUUUUAUGCCAUGGAUCAUCUUGAAAUUAAAUAUAACCAAAUACAACUUAGUACAAAAUAUGUGGGAUGAUAAUGCUCGCAUAUACGGAUUGAUGUCUACUUGUCAAAUUGAGACUGAUUGCUUGGAAGAUCACAUAUAUAGCUAGCUGAUAUAUAUCGAUAUGGAGAAUAAAAUUCUCCCUGUAGUGUGUGUGGGUGGUGGAGAGUAUGGGGUGUGUUUUGUUCUGGAGUCAGCAAAUUAUAAUCAUGAAAAUGGGUAGCAAUAGCAUGACUGCAGAUGCGUGAAAUAUAGGACCAGUCCAUAUAAUGGUGCACUUUUGGACAUAAAUUAAUGCAACUUGAUCAGAAAUGAAUAGAGCCUCAGAUCUAGUAGAGGAUAACAUAAAUUUCCUACUUUUAUGUUUUUCUUAGGAAAAAAAACCAAACAUAUUAGAGUAGGACCUUGAAAUACACACCCCCUAUGGAAUAAUAUGAUCAUUAGUGCUCCAGGGGAUCUCCCGUUGGAAUGCAAGCCAAUAUCCCAUUUUGGAUUCUCAAACUCCCUCUAGUAAAAGAUAAAAAAAAAGAACCAAUUUUUAUUUAUUGUGUAGAUAUAUGUGAUGGAUGUAUAUAUAAUUGUAAUAUAAAUUUGUAUCAAAUGCAUGUGGUUACAAGUAAUUAGAACGUACAAGCUGCGACGUGCUCUAUAAACCAUUAAUUCUAUGUGGUUUAGGUCUUAAUUGCAAUCAUUAUCAUCUAACCGACCUUUAUCUAAAUCUCAAGGUCAAACUAGAUGACAAAUUCUAAUAAAUUUAGGUCGAAUUAGAUGAAAGAACACGUAUGGUUUAUUCCUUUCUUGUAUCGGCCUCUCAUUUUCUUGGUUAAGUCCAUAUUUUCUAUACUUUUUCCUUUUUUUUUCUCCAGAAAAACAUCAAUUAUAUGUGGUGAUUAUUGAUGUCCUAAUUUGUUGUUCUUGCCUAAGAUAAGUUUUGCCCUUUUUUUCUUGUUGGGUUUGAGUUCGAUGAAGCUCAAGUUUCUUAGAGGAAGUUAGAAUAUGGUCAAUUUUCUCUACGCCAUGAACUCCAUGGCACUGCCUCACAUGUGAGACUAAUUUUUUUCCUCCAUCUGUUUGGAUCUCUCUUACGUGUAUAGAUAUAUAAUGCAUGUCUGUCUUGUGAGAUUUUUUCUUGUAGCAAUUUAGGGGAAGAGCAUAAGUUUGCUGAUUAAUUUGACUGUCUCUUAAUUACUUAUUCACUUUCGUUUGUUUUUUAAUCUUACUUCAUUUUUUAAAAGAAAAACUUUGUUUAAUUAUAAGAUCCUUAAUUACACUUAUUAUGCAUUGAAAAGUCUAUUAAAUUGUGCAAAUUAAUUCAUGAUAUCCUUUAUCUCUGUAGAUGAUCCCUUUUCCCUUUACUCAUGAUCAUGUAGAUGUGUCUAGCUAGUACUAUUUUAAAUUCUAUAUUCGACCUUAAUUAUUUAAAUGUUUUAGUUUUUUUGUUUGAGCGAUUCUCAUUGGAUGUGGAAGGCUUUUACACAAGGGGCAUGCUAAUAAAGUAUACAGAUAGCUCAAGCAUUGGAUUAAGUGACGGCCAUUUAAUCUCUAGUAGUGCAGAUCCAUUUACAAAAGUAUGGUGAUCACAACAUAUGCAGAAGGAGCCUGCUUGUACUGGAAGACAAGGUUUCUGGGUUCCUUGAUAGAGUUCGUACAAGACAUUAAUGGGACUCUCACAUGAAGUCUACCAACCCUAGUAGGCAUAUAUCUUCUUGACUCUGGCAUUGUUGUUCAGUUACUUACAAUUACUCAUUGGUCUGUACUUGGAACAUAAAUAUUUAGGCUGCCAAAAGAAUUUCAACGCCAUGGUUUGAACUUUGAAGUCAGAAGCCAUAGCAUAAGCUGAUAAUUAGCACUGACUUCUUCAUUUCA